ensembl:snoRNA small nucleolar RNA SNORA46
GGCACUAUUUUUAAACCUAUGGAUGGAAUUUCUCUCCACUGUAGGUUACGCUGUAGUGCAAAAUAAAUCCUUGGCACUGUUGUGAGCGCAACUGACCUUUUACCAUUUGGUUGAUGCUACAGUAAGCUAAGGAAUAGAA